CUUGUAAGUAAAACAUACACUCAAAUAUUUAGUAUCUAAAUAACAGAAUUGGUGUGUGCAUACCUUCAGAACUGAUGGGGAAAGAGAGUUAGGCCCACGCGACGAGAAGGAUGCAAUAUAGGUGGAAACUUGGUCGCCGGUAUCAAGAAGAGAAGCAGCAGCGUAAUCCAGUUACCUUGUCGAACGAAUGUAAUUAAGUAUUUGAGUUCCAACAUCGAAACUAACUAAAAUGCAAGGAAAAUCGGUGUAGUAUGUUGAAUAGAAAUCAACAUUGUCUAUAGCAGCUAUGAACCCCAAGCCACCAGCUCCGUUAACUACAUUUGCUGCUUGGAUUGCAUUGACUUCAUCGCCUUUGUUGAAGCAAAGUACCACUUUUCCUGCUACCCAGGUAUCGUUUUCUGUUAAAUCUUCACAAAGUCUACAAAUUCGAGAUAUCUUUGUGACUUAGUAAAGGAAAAGACAAAAGAAUAAAUCCUUAAUAGCUCGAUGAUAUGUACUGCUCUUACGAUUGAGGUAAGACAUCAGUUCCCUUUUUGUGAACCAGUUCAAGAAAGCUUGUAUCUUUUCCGUAGUACAUUGACUGUCCCUGCAGAAAGAACAACGGCUGGUGAUAGGUGUCGGAAAUGAUCUAUCUAUGGUACUUGCCGCUACAGUUAUUACCCACGGUGCUACAUCUUCGACUGUUUGUCGCGAAGGCCCUUCAUUCCCUCCUGAACAAACGACUGUGAUCCCAUUGGAUACAGCAUGGAAUGCUCCAUAGUAGAUAAGAUCACGCCUUUCGGUUUCUGGAUAAAGUGGAUAAUCAAAUCCCAAGGAUACUGAAAGUACGUCGACUCCAUCAUGAAUGGCCUCAUCAAAAGCUUUAAGAAUGUCUGCAGAAACACCACCACCAAGCCAAGUUGCUUUAUAGAUGGCUAGCCUGGCUCGGGGGGCGCCCCCAUGGAGAGUGCCAUGAGCCAGGCCAUUGAGGCUCACGUUGCUCACAAAAGAUCCAGCCGCAAUGCUGGCACAGUGCGAGCCGUGUCCUUGUGAGUCCCUAGGCGAGAGGAUGUCGCCGCUCUCUGUAGCAUUGAAUGGUUCGUCAAGAGCUGCAAGGAAACCUUUGAUGAAGUAACGAGCCCCGAUGAUUUUAUUGUUGCAAUGUUUGGCAGGAUCGAAAGCAGCUCCUGCUUCACAGUGGCCCUUCCAUUUAGCCGGGAUUUUGCCAAUGCCUUUGUCGCUGAAAGAUUCAGACUCCGGCCACACUCCUGUUUUCAUUGGAGACGAAGAGCUUUCAUUCAUCAAUGGGGUCAGAAGCUGAUCAUAAAGUACAGAAACAGAGGAGGAGAAUUACCACCGUCGAUUACACCAAUUAUAGCACCUUCUCCUUGAUCGGCAUCGUGCAAAAGAUUUGGCGCUGACGAUGUAGGCGACAGGCCAAGAAAAUCCCAGCUCCUCGUAGUCCUCACCUUGUAAAAUUGAUUCGGGAUAACCUCAACUACACCAGGUAAAUUGUACAUGCUUUAUUGCAGUAUGUCGCUGUCGACUGUUGGUGAUGAUCAGUUACUGUAAACUUUGGGUAGUCUCGCUUAACAGGAUCAGGUUGAUCAGGGUCUCAAAAUGUGGUGGCUUUAUGAAUAAACUUCUCUUUCUUGAUCUUAGUGUUAAGCAAAAAUAUACAUUGUAGAAGAAUAUGGAGAAACAAGAGCUAUUAAGUUUGAUCGAAAGUGUACUCAAAAAAUAGUUAUUCGUUAUAAAAGAAAAUGCAUUUUCUUCUACCAUCACCUAAAAUUGAUGCCUUC